rnacentral:rRNA from 1 species
AGCAGCCGCGGUAAUUCCAGCUCCAAUAGCGUAUAUUUAAGUUGUUGCAGUUAAAAAGCUCGUAGUUGGAUUUCUGCCGUGGUGCGCCUGGCCCGGCCUCUAGGGGUUGUGAGCCGGCGCGCACCGGGCAUCCUUCGUGUGAACACGUCUGCCGUUGAUUCGGUUCGGGCGUGGGAACACGAUCGUUUACUUUGAAGAAAUUAGAGUGUUCAAAGCAGGCAUUUGCUGUGAAUAGGUUAGCAUGGAAUAAUAAGAUAGGGCUUCGGUUCUAUUUUGUUGGUUUCUAGGACUGAAGUAAUGAUUGAUAGGGAUAGUUGGGGGUGCUCGUAUUGACCGGCCAGAGGUGAAAUUCACGGAUUCGGUCAAGACGAACUUAUGCGAAAGCAUUCACCAAGGAUGUCUUCUUUAAUCAAGAACGAAAGUUGGGGGAUCGAAGACGAUCAGAUACCGUCGUAGUCUCAACCAUAAACUAUGCCGACUAGGGAUUGGGCCGCGUUGAUUUUCAGGACCGGCUCAGCACCUUAUGAGAAAUCAAAGUCUUUGGGUUCCGGGGGGAGUAUGGUCGCAAGGCUGAAA